UACGUAGGGGGCAAGCGUUGUCCGGAAUUAUUGGGCGUAAAGAGCGUGUAGGCGGUCCGGUAAGUCAGCUGUGAAAGUCAAGGGCUCAACCCUUGAAUGCCGGUUGAUACUGUCGGGCUAGAGUCCGGAAGAGGCGAGUGGAAUUCCCGGUGUAGCAGUGAAAUGCGCAGAUAUCAGGAGGAACACCCAUUGCGAAGGCAGCUCGCUGGGACGUUACUGACGCUGAGACGCGAAAGCGUGGGGAGCAAACAGG
rnacentral:rRNA from 1 species